GGACUACCCGGGUUUCUAAUCCCGUUUGCUCCCCUGGCUUUCGCGCCUCAGCGUCAGAAGGGGUCCAGCACGUCGCUUUCGCCACCGGCGUUCCUUCCGAUAUCUACGCAUUUCACCGCUCCACCGGAAGUUCCACAUGCCCCUACCCCCCUCGAGGGAGUCAGUAUCCGAGGCACUUUUCCGGUUGAGCCGAAAGAUUUCACCUCAGACUUGACCCCCCGCCUACGCGCCCUUUAAGCCCAGUGAAUCCGAACAACGUUCGCACGGUUCGUCUUACCGCGGCUGCUGGCAC
rnacentral:rRNA from 1 species